GCUUUUUUUGCUUGUUUUCCUCUGGUAUGGGCUGCCCAUGAGCUGUCAUCCAUUUGGAUCGUCCCACUGUGGGUUGUCCACAGGACGCAGACUGUUCAGAGUUGUCCCCACCCUGGUGUGAGCCAUCCACAGGUUGCAGUUUCUUGGAAUGUUUCUGCCCCAGUUUUAAUUUAUGAAGAUAUACCUAUCCUCAGUGUUCCUCAGACCUUCUCUGAAAAAUUGUGCUGGAACACAGAUAAGGUUUCCAAGAUGUUUUUUUUAACUGGGACCAUUGCUCUAGCAUCUAAUGAAGCUGAGCCAAAAUGUUGCAGUAAAAUGUAAGCACUUCUCACAGAAGAAAACAAUAGGAAAGGAAAUUUUAACCUGAAAAUUGAAGUUUUGAGGCUUCUCCUGACAAACUUGCUACCUGCAUGCCUAAACAAAGCCAUAGAGCUAUAGAGACAUGAGUUAACAUGACUAUGACAUGUUCUGUUCCCAGAGAGGAUUUACCCUUUUAUGGGUAGAGAUAAUGUAGAAUGCCUUAGGAACCAUAUGUAAAGAGUUGAUGCUUGUGAAAUUUGAAGAUAUAAUCAAUUUUUAGAGCUUCACAGAUUUUGUGUUCAUUUUAGUUUAAUACAUUUGUAUUGUUGCAAACAUGUAUGUCCAGUAGUCUAUAAUGUGCAGAUCUAAAUCCUCCUUAUUUAAUGUUGACACAUAAUGACCUUGAAGCUGAAGAUAAAUCAUAUGUCAAAUCUAAGAUGAAGAACUGCACUGUCCAUUUCAUAAACUGCCUUUACUGUAAAAGCUCUGUCAUUUCACUUCGUAGUUUUAUAGGCCUAUGUCAUCCAACUACAGCACUGUGAACUUGGGUGCAUUUUUAAAAAUGAUCACCCUCUGUAGUCAGUGGGGAGUAUGGGUAUUUCUCUUAGCUGUGAUUUUAAGAACACUAUUUCCAUAACAAGAGACAAACUGGAAGCUGCCAUUACACUUUUUUGUUCUUAGUUGGAUAAAGAUAAUAUAAAACAUUUUUAAGAAAAUUGAGAAAAUUGAACUAAUCACUGUUAUUCUAUUCUUCUAUUAAUAAUGAAUAUAAGUGUCUAAAAGCUUUGUAUUGGCUUGAUACUAAAUUCAUGAUCUGCCUACCCUGUAACUUGGGGUCCUGUCACCUUUAGUUCUUUCAGCUGAUUCACGAGUCUCCCAUCACAGGUUCCUGAUGUCUGCUCUGUAGAUGAAGUUCAUGGCCAGAGACACUGAGCCAUGAAAAGAGAGAUCAUCAUACAUUGUGGGGAAACAGCACCCAGUCAUUUUGUAUGAAAAGCACCAGAAUGUUUCACGCUACAAUUUUUGGACACCCUUAACAGGGAAGAAUGCCUUUAUUUCUUGGUUUGAUUUCUAGUGAGUUCAAAGUCAAUUUUUUUUCUGGUAUCUCAACAGACCAGAGCCAAUAGUAAAGUGAUUAAUUUUACUGUUGUUGCUCUGUCUCAGGAAAUCGAAAGUGAGAAGUGGGGACUGUAUCAGUAAAAAUAGAAAAAAAACCUCAUGUAUUGUGUCACCUAGUCUUUUCAGACACACCUUACAAGCACUGCUUGUAAUAAAGCACUGCAAGUCAGUUUUGCA
ensembl:lncRNA